UGGGAAGCGAGGAAAAUAAAGUAGAGAAUGUUUUGGCACGUUCUGUGGCUCGCGGAGAAAGACGAAGAAGAAGAAGAAGAAGAAGUGGCUCGCUGAAUCGCUGACGUUCGGACGCUUGCUGAAGACUUGCUGGGUUUUGCUGGGAGAGCUGACUUACAUUGAUAAGUGUGAGGAAGAUAUCUUGGUGGCACACCCCUCCGAACUGAGCAAUCCAGCAACACUUUUUUCUCGAUUCCGAGCGACAAAUCCGACCAAGCAACGGCAAUCCACCCCAGCAUCGGCCCCAUCGCAAGACAUAAAGACCAAGGUGAAAACGUCUUGAAGAUGAAUCUGUUCCGGGAUUCCCCGUGGUAUUCGACAGACAAACAGAAGCGACCAAGUAUAAGUCACUUGAACGAAGUCAGGCUGUCGUGUUCCACACGUUAGAAAUAUGAAAGAUGUGUAAAAUGCUAUAUGUACGGUAAUUGGCAGUCGGUUCCUAUGAAUCGUACAGGAUUUUCUCCAACUGGCGCGGAACAAAGAGAACGCUAUUUCCUAAUGUUUUAA